GCGAGAGUGGCGGAAUUGGCAGACGCGCCAGGUUUAGGUCCUGGUGGGGGUAAACCCCGUGGGGGUUCGAGUCCCCCCUCUCGCA
rnacentral:tRNA from 1 species